UAUUAUAAGGCAGAGCGGUGUACUUCCUAUUUAUACUCCCAGUUUAUAAAACUAAUGCAAGUAACAAGCUUUCAUGUGAAUGAGAGAAUGCUAGCAUCCAUGGCGCUCACUUAAAGGUAGAUAGACUGCAUCAGUUUGUUCUUCUUCUUUCAUUUUGCUGUCCUGGCUGUCAUCACUUCGAAGCUCUAUGGCACUAGGAGAUGCAGUCUGUUGGCUAGCUUUGCUUUCUCUUUCUGUGACUGGGGAUUUGCAGUGCGGCCUUUUUUACUACUGGGCCAGCCAGACUGGUGUAGGAUGGCUUAUUUCUUCAGUAUACUCCAGGGCUGAAUAAUUUGCAGUCGUCUCUAUUCCCUUGCCUGAUCACUACUGCUCAGUGAUUUGCAGUGUGGCAGUAUGCAGAGCACUUCCAUAGCUUUCCAACUGCUUCUGUCCCUAAUGGAAAUCUGUCUCAUUGAGUGUUACAGGUGUCCUUGCUAACCUUUCUUUCCAUGGACUUGUACUGAAACUUUAAAAGUGGUAUCUUCUAGUCCUGUCUCAUCAUUGUGCUAUGCUGUACUGAUUGGUGUGCUGGGUCCCAUAGGCAGAGAGGUUUUUACAACGACAAAUUGAAACAUAUAGAAGCUUCCUGUUGGUUUUCUUGAGUAAAAAGGUGUGCUGGAGAUGCUAUGAAUGGAGUGUCUGGUGGCAGUUGUGCUGGGCUAUGAUGGAGUUAGUGUGAGUCAAGCUUGCUUUUGGGAUGGUUAGUUCCUCUUUCAGACUGUGAACGUAUGUCCUAGUAACUUUGUGCUGUACUGGGACCUCAAGACACUCAGGUAAAAUAGCAGCCCCUUCAACCCAGGUAUCUUUUGGUACUGAAGAUUAUGGUUUGAAGGUUCUUUAUUCUACUUCCUUGUGCAGUUUUAUUAUCCAUUUCAUUAUUUCAAUUAUGAGGUAGUGGCAAAAACUGUCAGAGAGAGCCAGUGGUCAGAGAGAAGUUCACAUCAAAUUGUAGGACAACAACCAGUGAAAGUGGCAUAGUGAUACAAAACAACUCUCCUUGGAAAGAAGACGUUUGAAGCAAAUAGGAUUUUUAAGCUGAUCAGAGUAGGUUUUGCUUCCUGGAGUGGAUUUUGCUUGGGCAUCAUGGCUGCAUGCAGGAAACCAGAGGUAAAUUCUGCCUGGAAUGAUGGUAAAAGAGGCAUCAUGCAAGUGGAUGAGCUGACGGAGGUUGGUUGUGUAGUUUAAAGUAGAAUAGUAUAUGUAGGACAUUCAGGAAAACAGAGUAGAGGUAGAGAUAGUCUUGGUCCAAAGAACAUUUUUUGGCCAGUAGCCAUUUAAGAUGAAGUACAGAAAAGCUUCAGGAAAGUAGAUUUAGGACUGAGGUGGUGAUCUGUAAUUGCUGAACGAAUCAGAAAGUGUUUUUAAAAAUGUCGUAUCAGGCCUCUUGUUUCUUUGCUUGCUGUCCUCUAAGCAAAUGUUUAUUAAAAGACAAAAGUGUCAGCUGUUUGCCCAAGGUUUGGAAGAACUGUGAAGUUCAGUUGAAAAGAUGCUUGUGCCACAAGUGUGUUGAUGCUUACUAUUUGCUAUGAAUGCAACUGUCUCUUUCCUGCUAAGUUCCUAUUACUAGCGGUGGGAAAUAUUCCUAAAAAUUCUAGUUUACAGUGCAAAGCACAAAUGGGAUACAUUUUGUUGCACCUUGUGAAUGUGGUUUGCUACAGGCUCUCGGCUAGGCCAGGCAGAGAAAAACAAAAUUUUAAUUGUUUAGAAAGCGAAAAGGUCUCUGGGAGGAGGUAGUAAGCUUGAGCCUAUCCCUCCUACUGGUUUGUGAUCCCUCUUACAGGUUUGUGUGGUGCUAGAACAGAUACAACCAGACACCUGUACCUAAAAUGACUUGUUUGUUUUGUCAUAGUCUAAUUAGUAUUAAGAAUUUAGACUUACCAUGCUUUUUGUCCUCUCGUACCCAGCAUUUCUGGUCAAAAUGAGAACUGUGUAUUUUUCCUCAUCUUGCUUAUGAACAGCAUUGCUGUAGGACCCUUGCUUUGCUCGUAGGCCUCUGGGGUGGUGCAGGGGGAGGGCAGCAGUCUCUGUCCUUCCUGGGCAGCGGCUGCAGCUUCCCUCAGAGUGCCCAGGCCGUGUGUUUACGUGGGUCCUUUGUUUCUCCUGCCUCCUCUCUCAGGUGUCUUCUCCUUUCUCUUGGCUCUCCCAGGUGACGGUUGGGGCAGGCCUUAGAGCUCCUUCACCAAAUCCCCCAUUUUGCAGAAUCCAUCGCGCCCUUGUAGAGAAAUGCCCUCAUUCUCUCGAGCAGAAACGUACAAACUUUUAAUUUUUUUAAAGAAAGAAUAUGUAUAUAAUUAUAUAUAAGAAAAAAAUACAGUUAUUUAAACACUAUUGGUAAAUUCAUGCAUGUAUAUGGUGUUCCCCUUCCUCCCUGCCACCUUUUCCCUUGGAUGUGUAGCAUCCAGAACACUAAAUGACAGAAACCUCAUUAAAAUAAGUGACAGGUCUGGUGCUGCCCGUGGGUGAGCAGGUGCUGCUUUCUGUGGCUGAGCUGUUCCAUACAGCGUAGGUCGUGGGCUGUGUGCUCAGAUGGGGCCCUGCUGUAAGGAUGGACAGGCACCGGGCAGCAACUCUAGGAAUAAGCCAUGUCCUCCCUGCAUGUCGUGUGGGUGCCCUACAGCUCUCUGUGGGCAUCAAUACUGCCCUUCUCCUUCACCUGUUUAAAAUAGGGGAAAAAAAAAACAAAUUCUAUUCUCUUGAUUUAUUUAUAAAUGUUUUUAUACUUCUCCCUCUAGGUGAAAUAACCCAUUUGAAUGUCCUUUUUCUGAAUUUGUAAAAAAUAAAAACCAUUUGCUUUUUUUUUUUUUUUUUUUUUUUGCACUGUGAAGCGCCCUGUGCGGGAGCUGUUUUUAACUCUGUAUUCAUUUGUACUCCGUGUCUUAGAACUGUUUCAAUAAAAACGUGGUCAUUUGCUA
rnacentral:lncRNA from 1 species